rnacentral:lncRNA from 1 species
GGUAGAACAAGAGUAGAUAUUGGGAAGCAUUACUGUGCAGAGAGUGAGUCUCUGCUGAAAUUGAAACAGCUUGUCAUUUUAAUAAUAUACUCACUGAAAGAAGUAAAAGGAGGGAAAAUGAAAUAUGCUGGUGUGUCAGGUCAGAGGUUCUCCUGAGAGCCAGGGAGGGUGUUCCUCACCCAAGCUGGCAGUCUGGCUGAUACAAGGUUUUUUUAUCUCUGUCUCUUGAUGGGGCUGGAAUAGAUGCUGUUGCAGAUCAUAGUCAAAUGUUUUGAGAAAAUACUUCUAAGAAAAAGUGCAACUGAGCUAGCAUUUUUGUCUAUAUUCUCAAAAUUUGUGGACCAUAUUCAGCAGUUUGUAUGGUGGAAUGGACAUGCAGCCUUUGGCAUGGCAAAGGCAAGAACAGAGGAGGUCACUGUACUUGUACAGGUUUUCUGGAUGUCACAGCUUGCAGUGGAGCCUGGCCAGAGACUUCUACAGCUCCAGCUGAUCUCAGGAUCUCAGUUGUGUGAUGCCCAUGCAGUGCAAAGAUCAACAUGGCACCUGAGAAGCAGCAAUCUUGUGGUCCAGGUGUCCAUUCAGCAAAGGACUAAGCAUCAGAGAAAGCCACACCCCAGCAGCUGCAGGGUUUGCCUGGGAGGCUGAGUCGCAGCGAGCCGAGCACAGGAAAGCAGAAGCAGAAUACAGAAAAGUAUAGAAAACGUAAGCCCACCACUGGCUGGAGAUCCUUGCCAGUUAGGAAGAACUAGAUGAAAGCAGUCACACAUCUUGGUAGAUUGUGGUGGUACAGCAAUAACAAGAGAGGAAAACUUUGUCUUUUCAGAGGAUCCCGGUGCAGAAUCAGUCCAAAUCCAGAGGAGGAGACGGAGACUUUGUGAUUCUGUGCUGCAGGAAAAGUGCAGCUAGACUGAAAGUAAAUGCUGACACACUCCUCAGCCUCUCAGUGAAUAUACAUCCUUGGAUGCCAACCAGAUUAUUCCGGGCUGCCCUGCAUUGCAUUAUGCCUCACUGCUCUGCUGCUUGCAGAGCUGAGUUCAGGUCAUUGCAGAGAGGGAAGAGGAGUGGUGAGGAUGCUCCUCGCAGAGUCUGAACACACUUAGGGAGAUUGAUGAGGGCUGCCCGAUUGGCUGCUGCACUCCCCGAGCUCCAGCGGAGAGGCCAGGCUGACAUGGGAGCGCAGCAGCCUCCUGGUGAUGGAGAGAGCCAGGAGGAUGGGGCUGGGAAGUGUUCUGCAUCCCCUCCUGAGGAAAAGCAGGGAAGCAUGCAAGAAGGGUGAGCAGAGCCUGGGAUUUUCCUCUCCCUGUGAGCAAGAUCUGAUGAACCCCACCCCGAAAUCAACAGAAGGGAAUCCCACUCCUCUGCUUAAAAUUACAUUCUUAAACCCUGGACACUCAUUAGAAGAAGGGGUUUGGGA